rnacentral:lncRNA from 1 species
AUGGUGAACGUUGCUAAAACCCGCCGGACUUUCUGUAAGAAGUGUGGCAAGCACCAACCCCACAAAACGACACAGUACAAGGGCAAGGAUUCUCUGUAUGCCCAGGGAAAGCAGCGUUAUGACAUGAAACAGAGUGGCUAUGGUGGGCAAACUAAGCCGAUCUUCCGGAAGAAGGCUAAAACUACAAAGACGACUGUGCUAAGACUUGAGUGCGUUGAGCCCAAACAGAUCUAAGAGAAUGCUGGCUAUUAAAAAGAUGCAAGCAUUUUGAACUGGAAGGAGAUAAGAGAAAGGGUCAAGUGAUCCAGUUCUAU